AGGUGGGUGAUCCAAUGGUGGUUUUGUGUGAAAAAAGGUUAAUCGUUUCCUCUAUCUUUGUCUCAUUGCUCACCGUGCAUGCGAAUGCGCACAAACUUGCACACGUAUUAUGUGGUAUGAUAUCUCACGGUGAGAUGGUUGUGUUUGAAUUAUUGCAUUUUGUUGUACCUCAAUGAUAGGUAAUAGUGAUUAAAUCAAGAAAACCAAAUCUUAACAAAAACUAUGAAAAUUGGAAAAUCGAGGCAUGGAUACACUAAAUGAGGUGUAGAUCUUUGUCUAUUUCAUGAUAGUGAUAAUACAGAGUCAUUAAACAUAGUGAGUUUUGAUAUGGGCAAGAUAAAGAAUGUUGCCAAUGCGCCCAUGCCAUUAUGUUUUUGGGAUUAUGUAUUCUAAUGAUAAGGUAAUUCAAAUUGUCAUAAAAUUAUAAAUAUAUAGGUUUUCAGUACUUCAAAAAAAUUUCUAACAUCCACUACUAGGCGACAUCUGUUGGCUGGU
rnacentral:lncRNA from 1 species